rnacentral:rRNA from 1 species
GAUGAACGCUGGCGGUGUGCCUAAUACAUGCAAGUCGAGCGAACAGACGAGGAGCUUACUCCUCUGACGUUAGCGGCGGACGGGUGAGUAACACGUGGAUCACCUACCUAUCAGACUGGUAUAAUUUCGGGACACCGGCUCUAAUACCGUAUAACAUGUUGAACCGCAUGGUUCAACAGUGAAAUACGGUCUUUCUGUCACUUAUAGCUGGAUCCGCGUCGCAUUAGAUAGUUGUUAAGGUAACGGCUUACCACGGCAACGAUGCGUAGCCGACCUGAGGGGGGGAUAGGCCGCACGGGAAGGGAGACACGGACAAGAGGACUAAGGGAGGCAGCAGUAGCGAAUCGGACGCAAUGGGAGAAAGAAUGACGGAGCAGGGCCAAGUGAGUGAAGAAGGUCUUCGGAGCGGAAAAACGUGUUAUGAGGGAAAAACAAAUGUGUAAGGAACUAUGCACGUCUUGACGGUACCUAAUCAGAAAGCCACGGCUAACUACGUG